rnacentral:tRNA from 1 species
GAGGUUGUGGCUCAGUGGUAGAGCGCUUGCCUUGAAUGUGUGAGGCACUGGGUUCAACUCCCAGCACCACA